rnacentral:rRNA from 1 species
CCUACGGGGGGCAGCAGUGGGGGAUAUUGCACAAUGGGGGGAACCCUGAUGCAGCGACGCCGCGUGGGUGAAGAAGCGCCUCGGCGCGUAAAGCCCUGUCAGCAGGGAAGAAAAUGACGGUACCUGAAGAAGAAGCCCCGGCUAACUACGUGCCAGCCGCCGCGGUAAUACGGAGGGGGCAAGCGUUAUCCGGAUUUACUGGGUGUAAAGGGGGCGCAGACGGGGAUGCAAGCCAGGAGUGAAAGCCCGGGGCCCAACCCCGGGACUGCUCUUGAAACUGGGUGGCUGGAGGGCAGGGGGGGAAGGCGGAAGUCCUGGUGUAGCGGUGAAAUGCGUAGAUAUCAGGAGGAACACCGGUGGCGAGGGCGGCCUGCUGGACUGCAACUGACGUUGAGGCCCGAAAGCGUGGGGAGCAAACAGGAUUAGAUACCCCGGUAGUC